rnacentral:lncRNA from 1 species
CCCAUGGCAUAUGGAAGUUCCCAGGCUAGGGGUCCAAUGGGAGCUACAGCUGCCAGCCCAAGUCACAACCACAGCACAGCUACAGCAACACUGGAUCCAAGCCACAUCUGAGACUUAUGCUGCAACUUGAAGCAGCCCCGGAUCCUUAACCCUCUGACCGAGGGUAGAGAUUGAAUCUGCAUCCUCAUAGCUAUUAGUCGGGUUCUUAACCCGCUGAGCCACAAUGGGCACUCCUCAGGGCAGUGUCAUGGUUUAGCCAAUUUUACUAACUGGUCAGCUGGUAUUUGACCCCAGGCAAUCAAACUCAGAAGGCUAUUUUCUAACUUUAAAAAAGAUGCUGGGUUAUUGUCAGAAUUUCUUGGUAAGGCUAGAGACCAGGCUUGGAAGCUACACCACUAAGAACCUCACUCCAAAGCCUGCCCCAGAUCUAGUCCAGUGAAAACACUAGCAGACACCAUCCCCACAGCUAGUGGUGCUGACACAGUGACCAGGGACGGGGACUGGACACUGGCCUCUAGGCUGUUGCUCCAGGAUACUGGCAGUAGCAGACUUGGCUUCCACUUGUGCCACAGUGGAUUAAGUUGUUACCUUAAAAGUCACGUUCUGGGGUGGGUACUUCUAAUUAGCAUGGCCUGGGUCAGGUCAUGUUGGUCAGAGAAGGCUGGGAAAACAAAUAUUUUCUCACUCAGUGAAUGUUUAUUGAGCAUCUUCUAUAAGUCAGACACUCCUCUAUUCUACAUGCUGGGGAAACAGAAGCCCAAGUAGAAGAGGUAAAACUUGCCUAUACUCAUGAAGCUUCCAUCUAUAAACGGGCAGAGAGACAAUAAUCAAAACAAGCAAAACAGGGGUUCCCGCUGUGGCUCAGUGGUUAAUGAAUCCAACUAGGAAUCAUGAGGUUUUGGGUUCGAUCCCUGGCCUCGCUCAGUGGGCUGAGGAUCCAUCUCAUCCGGGGCCAUUACCAAAACUUCAAGCGUAAUCUGAAACUUCUCUCCUCCAGGCUGCAAAUGUGCAGGAGAACGGGGGUCAGGGUCAGAGUCAUUUCUAUUUCUCAGGUAACUCCUGCCCACUUGGCAGCUGCCGGGCUGGGCCUGCAGGCCCAUGUAGCAAGCAAAGGAGGAAGAGCUAAGGUCUUACUGCUUGGGGAGAGAGAGAAACUGGUGUCGGUGUCCCCUGGGAGCCGCGGAUUCCAAUGCUGCAUCCUUUUUCUUACAGGUUCUCAAUAGUUUCUCCUUUUCUGGGGGCCUCUGACCUGUCGGUCCCUUGUAGGCAACCUUCUCUGGUGACUUAGGAUUCCUGUCCACACCCCUUCGUUUUGAGGCGCCUCCUCUCCCCUGAGGUCCCUUCCUCCCUCUACGUGUCCCCCUGGGCUGGGUUCCUUUUUCAAAUGACCCCAUCUGGCUCCCUUUCAUGAGAACCACAUCAGGCCUACAGAAUCUCAGGAACUCUGGGAGUGUAAGCCAUUCCAAAAGCAGGGUUCCCUCUUCUCAGCCACCUGCUCCGAAGGUGUCUUUCGGCUUUUAGGAGUGAGUCAGACACAGUUCCGGUGUGCCCCCAACUCUCCAGGAUGUGUCAGGCUCUCCCAGUCGUCCUCCUGAAGGGCCCCCUCAUUCGACCUGUGAGGAGGAAGCACCCCCACCCUCUCCUGCCUGGGGAGAAGGGAAACGUCCAGGCUACUGACAACUGCUUCCGAAGGAAUCCGCUCACGUUCUCUUACAGAGCCUGGAGGUGGUGCUGGGUUAUCCUUCUCAGGAUUGAGCUAGGGCUUCCCAGUAUCCGCGUCACAAACUCUUAGCGUGGGAUGCAUCGGCGGAUAGUUCCUUUUCCCUUUGGAAUGUGGAUGGACUUGGCACCUACUGUUUUGUUCUCGGCCUUUGGGGUUUCUGGUGAAACUGACACAGAAAGAUUCCCACUUUAGUAAAGGACAUUACUGUUGUCAAACCUUCCUUAGGGAACUCCUGUUCUUUCUUUUUUUAUGGCCACACCCAUGGCAUAUGGAGGUUCCCAGGCAAGGGAUCGAAUCAGAGCUAGAGCUGCUGGUCUACCCCACAGCCACAGC